CGGCGGACGGGUGAGUAACGCGUGGGUAACCUACCUCAUACAGGGGGAUAACAGUUGGAAACGGCUGCUAAUACCGCAUAAGCGCACAGUACCGCAUGGUACCGUGUGAAAAACUCCGGUGGUAUGAGAUGGACCCGCGCCUGAUUAGCUAGUUGGUGGGGUAACGGCCUACCAAGGCGACGAUCAGUAGCCGACCUGAGAGGGUGACCGGCCACAUUGGGACUGAGACACGGCCCAA
rnacentral:rRNA from 1 species